rnacentral:rRNA from 1 species
GACGAACCGUCCGAACGUUAUUCGGAAUCACUGGGCUUACAGAGUUCGUAGGCGGUCUAGCAAGUUGGGUGUGAAAUCCCUUGGCUCAACCAAGGAACUGCGCUUGAUACUGCUAGACUCGAGGGAGAUAGAGGAAAGCGGAACUGAUGGUGGAGCGGUGAAAUGCGUUGAUAUUAUCAGGAACACCGGUGGCGAAGGCGGCUUUCUGGGUCUCUUCUGACGCUGAGGAACGAAAGCUAGGGGAGCGAACGGG